rnacentral:lncRNA from 1 species
CCAGGCGAAGAGGCGCUGGGUGGCCAUAUCUACUCUUCCCAAUCUCCGAUUUAUGUUUCCUUCUCUCUCAGCGAAACUCACGCCCUCAUAGCCCUCAACGCCAUAACUACUCCAUCUUCUUCCUCCAGCCCUUCGUCCUCACCAACCACAACCCUAGACACCUCCAAUGCUGGCGAAUUGAUCAUGGCGGACCUUCUCGAGGAACUUCACUACCCACAAUACUUUCUCCCACCUGGCCUACAGAUUGAGGAACAUUUGUUCCGUGCCUCAAGAGCGGAUGUUACUAUUCAAAACCCUCCCACGAAGCGUCACGAAGAUUUCAUGGCGGUGCUGGUGGAACCACAGCCUCCAGAAGGGAGCAUCCAGGACCUAAUCCAUCAGGUUGUUCACAUCAUCAAUCAUCAGUACCGCUUUCAAGUGGUAAGAACUAUCAGGUUCCCUCUUGCGCUCUGCCUAGUCCAACUUACUUCGGAAGUGAGUAGAGAUGCUUUGCUUGCUGGAGACCCCAUGGUCUUGAACAAUGGUGAUUUUAAUGCUCGGAUUGUGUGUCCUGAUAAUCUGGAUAAUAGGCGUAACUAUCCAUUCAGUAGGGAAGGUUGGAUCAUGAUUCUUGGUAUCCCCCCUGAUUUUAGAAAUGAAUCCCACAUUGAAAGGGUAGUAAACACUUUUCGUAAACUUGUUGCUGGGAUCACCGUGAUCGGGUCCUGGGAAGGGAUGAGAACAAUGCUUUGGAAGUUCAGAUUAAACAAAUCCAGCAUCAUCAGCAAGCAGAUGUUCAUGAAGAGAUGUAACAUGAGUCUGCAUCUAUUGGACACAGCUUCAGUGAACAACAUGGGUCAUGAAAUUCAGUUGGUCCAAAAUAAUCUGCAGAUAAUCACUUACCAGGCCCCAGUGCCUUGCUUCCCUUUCAAGUGUCUUCCAUCAGCAGUGUGCAUAUCUGUAGCUGAAAAUGUAUUCUUGCCUCUCAUCAUAAGCUGUAAUCCACCACUGCUAAAACAACCUAUAGAACAUCACUGGUGGCAUGGUUUCAAGCCUUGUCUACCUGUACAGAUACCUAGAAGUGUGUGGCAUAUGGCUUUUGGUUCAAGUAAAGAUCAGGUGGUUUUUGUAAGGCCUGCAAAGCAUCGACGGGUUGAUGCUGAGCAGACAGAGGUGGUCAAAAGGCCCAGGGCCAAACUUCUUCAUGGCAGUGGUAACUUGAGAAUGUUCCCAAGCUCCUUGGCCCAGGGAGAGAAGUCGGACUUGAACCAAGAAUCACCCAAGAAGAGGUCUGGAGUUCAACCUGAGCCUCCCACUGCCCAUUCUGAUGAUAGGAAGAAUUCCAUUCAGCCUGCUUCCCCAAACUCUAUUGAAGAUAUCCAAAAUGUGGAUGUCGAUGUAAGUGAUGUGCUUUCUGAGGAUGUAAGCAAGGUAAUAGUCUUAGAUUCUGAUGAUGAAUAG